rnacentral:lncRNA from 1 species
UAAAAGGUCAUUGUUACGGUCACUUGUGUUGGGUUGAAUUGUGCGGUUUAGGCUUAAGCACAACAGGAAUUCAGAGAAAAGAGACGGCACCUUCACCAAUAAUCCAAGAUGACUUCGAUCAUCCAGGAGCAGCCAGGUAAAAGGGGUCAAAAAACUUGCCUGGGAUCACCUAGCCAGUAAGCAGAAGAGUCAGGAGUCAAACCAGGGCAAUUUGGCUCCGGAGUGGAGCUCUUCACUUGCAUGCCACAGAGCCAACCUCAAGGAAGCUGGAGGCUCAGCUGGACUUUGCAGGACAAGCCACAAGACAGAGGCACCUCUGCUGGGAAGAAGGACCAAGGACUUCCCGUCAUGCACUUCCCAUGAUCCAACUCAGGGUUUCUCCGGAAGGCCUGCAUCCUUCUCUAUUCUCUCACCCCUGCGUUUCCCACCGUGUACUCCUUCUACUUAUUAAAAAAGUUAACCGUAAGACAGCCUCAGGCAGGUUCUUCAGGAGGUAUCCAGAAGAAGGCACUGUUACCACAGGAGAUGACAGCUCCGUGCAUGCUAUUGCCCCUGAAGACCUUCCAGUGGGACAAGAUCUGGAGGUAGAAGACAGUGAUACUGACGAACCUGACACCGUGGAGGCCUAGGCUAAUGUGCGUGGUUGUGUCUUAGUUUGUAACAAAAGAAGUUUAAAAAGCAAAAAUACAAAUUAAAAAAUAGCUAGAAUAAGGA